rnacentral:tRNA from 1 species
GUCACUUUAGCUUAGUGGCAGAGCGUCUGCUCUAUGAGCAGAAGUCGUCAGUCAAUCCUGACAAGUGGCU